rnacentral:lncRNA from 1 species
GACUUACUUCCACAAAUCAAGAGCCAUUCCACAAUGGCCGUGGCCACCUCCCAAUCUUCUCUGAGGGGUGUUCUGAGGGGACGUCUGAUGGGAGGUUGCCUGGUCUACCCCACUCUCCUUUGUUACCCAUAAAAAGGUGGAUACUCUUUCUAAGAAAGAUGCAGCUUUCCACAGAGUGGUUCUCUUCUCUUCGGUGUCAUGAGGCCCACCAUCCAAGGUUGCUGUGAGUUUUCCGGGUUGUAUGGCCAUGUUCUAGAAGCAUUCUCUCCUGUCAUUUCAUCCACAUCUAUGGCAGGCAUCCUCAGAGGUUGUGAGGUAUGUUGGAAACUAGGCAAGUGGGGUUUAUAUUUCUGUGGAGGUCCAUUGUCGGAGGAAGAACUCUUGUCUACCUAAGGCAAGUGUGAAUGUGGCAACUGGCCACCUUGAUUAGCAUCGAAUAGCCUUUCAGCUUCAAAGCCUGGCUACUUCCUGCCUGGGGGAAUCCUUUGUUGGGAGGUGUUAACUGGCCCUGAUUGUUUCUUGUCUGGAAUGCCCAUUUUUUGAGUGUUGUUCUUUGUUUACUGUCCUGAUUUUAGAGUUUUUUUUAAUACUGGUAGCCAGAUUGUGUUCAUUUUUAUGGUUUCCUCAUUUCUGUUGAAAUUGUCCACAGGCUUGUGGAUUUCAAUGGCUUCUCUGCGUAGUCUGACAUAGUGGUUGUUAGAGUGGUACAGCAUUUCUGUGUUCUCAAAUAGUAUUCUGUGUCCAGGUUGGUUCAUCACGUGCUCUGCUAUGGCUGACUUCUCUGGUUGAGUUAGUCUGCAGUGCCUUUCCUGUUCCUUGAUUCAUGUUUGGGCAAUAAUGCUGCGUUUGGUGGUGCCUAUGUAGGCUUGUCCACAGCUGCAUGGUAUACAGUAGACUCCUGCAGAGGUGAGAGGAUCCCAAAAUAGUUUGUUUUCCAGGUCACACUCAAGAGAGCAGACUUUGCUAUUAAUAUAUUCCAUCUUGGAAGCUAAGCAGAGUCAAACCUGGUUAGUACUUGGAUGGGAGACCACCAAUACAUACCAAGUGUUGCAUUUCAGAGGAAGGAACUAGAAAAACCAACUCUGAGUAUUCAUUGCCUAAGAAAACCCAGUGAAAUUAAUGAAGUCAUUAUAAGCUGGUAUGAAACUUGAAAAUAUAUAUUAUACACACAGAGCUCAGAAGGAACGGUGGCAAACUGCACAACUGUCACAUUAAUACUUCAGGAACAACAAUACUUUCCAACAAGGGUGGAGAAUCUCCUUUGGCCCUAUGAAUAAAUUCCCUUUCAGCAAUGUUCUCAUUCUAGGGCUGACGGGGGGCCAAAGUCAAAAAGACAGGAUGUAAAAUGCCAGCAUGUUUUAGUUACAAUGUCUUCACCAGCAAUACUGCCCUAGCAAAGGCUUUACAAUUUUUUAAAAUAGGAGAAAUGCUUGUGGAAAACUAGCAAAAAAAUACGUAAAGGUACCAAGGAGAAGGGUGUGUGAUUCCCCGGAGAGUCCCAAAGGGGUGGAUGGGGAACCUAAAAAGCCCCAAAGUACCCUCAGGGCAUGAAGUUCCCUUUACAUGCAAAAUACUUGGGUUUAUUUUCUGUUGAUAGAUCCAAGUAGAGGAGAUCCAGUGAAUCAAUAGAACUUACUUACGUGUUGAUUUGCCAUUCCACAACUGAUUUAAUGGUUUUACUCUAGUUAACACUAACAAACAGGAUUCUAUAUUUCAUCCAGAUAUAGAUUCACUUACUUUAUAUCCCAAACUUACACAAAAAAUGGGCCUCUGUUUCAUUUUCCAGCAUUUCCAGGUUGGGUUUGAUGAGAUGUGUUUCCGAAACCUGGAAGAACUGUUGCCAAACAUUGUUAAUCUUGGUGAUUUGACUGGCUAUAGGGCAGCCUCCUGUGUAGCUGCCAUUCAGUAAGUUAUACAUGGAAGAUAUGUUGGUGAGUCCUUUUGCAUGAGUCCUGUGCCCCUAACCCCAGUGAUUGUGGAGGGCUGACAGUACAUCACUGGGGAUCCAUGUUACCUGCUUUACAGGAGACAGUCUCCUGUUUGAAGGAUUGCCAAAGAUACGGCUUUCUUUAAAACUAUCCACCUUUGAAAGGCCAUCCAAUCUAAAUCAACCUUAAAGGAAAAGAAUAAUGAAGAGGGAGCACACGGGCAAGUGAUUGAGGAAGCACACAGGCAACCUAGUUGGGGUUUCCUCCAUUACAGUGAAAUAAAUUCCGUUCCCAUUUAAAUUAUAGCAGUUUAAUGCUAUAAUGUCUUACAGUAUUUUAUGCAUUUUUAUAACGUUCCAUGGUAUAAUGUUUCUACACAUACAUAUCAGCAGAUGUACAUUUUGUGCACCAUCUGCGUCACAAAUUCCAUCUUUUUGUUGACCAUGUAUUAAGUGAUCUUGAAAAAGCACUUGGGUGCCCAGAUUUCAGAGCCUGGCUGCUAUUCUCUUAUUCUCAUUGGCAAUGAAGAGGAAUGUCAAAUGGUUGCCUUGAAAAGGAUGUGUAUCAUCUGUAAUUUUUCUUAUUUGUUACACUUUAUAAAAUAAAUGCCACCAUGCAACUGUGGUUAAUGUUUAAUGUGUCAUAUUUUGUAAAUUCAACAGAGAUUAUGGAUUGUAAUACAGGCCGUUCCACAAGUUACGAGCAAGAUAGGUUAUGUAGGUUUGAAUUUGUACAUGAGUCAAAAUAGGUACAUUUUUAAAGUGUAACUCAGGCAAAUAUAUGUAUAUAUUAGCCUUGGAUAGCAUAGGGAAGGGAGAUUGUUUUGCUGCCUGUGCCCCUGUUCAGAAAAUUUCACCUCACUUUCUUUCUCUGUGACAACUGGAUUUUGAAAAAUGUGGCUUGCUGUGGAAACAAGCUUCUGUGGAGACACCUUUUCUCCGUGAUAACUCUUCCAGGUGUGAAUUUCCCUACUGAGGGGAAGAUUUCUCUCACUUUCUGUUAUCUUACCAAUAAUAAUAAUAAUAAUAAUAAUACACUUUAUUUGUAUCCUGCCUCAUCUCACAACAAUCUCAUUAUACAAAUCAUCUUGACAUUAUACAAAUCAUCUUGACAAUUACACACAUAAAUAUAUCCAAUUUAAAUUAAAUCAAGUUAAUAACAAGGCAAACUAAAAUUACAUAAAACAUUCAUUAUGAGUUAUUUGUAAAUUGGAUGUUUGUAACUUGGGGACUUCCUGUAUAACCCUUUUGACAUCCCAAGGGAUUAUCUCUAGGGUAAAUUUACACUGUAGAAUUAAAUAGGUCUCAUACCACUUUCACUUCCUUCGCUCAAUGUUAUGAAAUCCUGGAAGUUAUAGUUUUACAAGGUUUUUCAUCUUCUCUGUCAUUGAGUACUGGUGCCUUACCAAAGUACAAACAUCAGGGCCCCAUAGCACUGAGCCAUGGUGCAGCAUAUCCUACAUCUGGAAAAGACUGCUCAUGU